rnacentral:lncRNA from 1 species
GAAUAAAAGACUAGGUGUUUUAGUUUGUCUUUUUGGAGGUGAAUCCUAUAAAACAGAGCAGACCUGUGAGCCCAUGAUGAUGGUCCCAGCAGAACAUGUCAAAAAUAAGUUUCCAAGUAUUUCUGGGCCUUCCUCAUCUCAUCCUCAGGGAAGAUAUGUUACGACCAGCAAUGCAAAAACUCUUGCCUGUGAGUUGAUGAAGGAAAGUUUCAGUCAAACUUUUGAAUGAAUACUUGUUAGGCAAGAACAGAACCAAGAAACACUCUUCAACUCCCACUCAAAAGAAUUUGGAGUUGCAGCUACUGUGUGGAGCAGAACUUGCCAUAAUUCCUCAGAACCUAAAAAGCAGUUCAUUGUCACCAUUCCACAAAUCUAUUGAAGGCCACUUUAUAACAUCUUUUCCUUGUUGUUCUUCAAUG